rnacentral:rRNA from 1 species
CACGAUCAAGAGCGUGAUGAAUUCGACCGCCUCGAUCCGUGCCGUUGCCAAUGUCGUCAAUGUCGAGGCCACCGCCUAUGACGUUCUGAUCGACUCCACAGACACGGGCGCGGGUUGGGCCGAUGAGGUCACUUCGACAGCCGAGACUGACACGCCUCAGAUCGAGCGCAUUUCAAUUGCCUUGCACGAGCUGUCGGCUCUGCCCAAGGCUUCCCAGCGCCUGCUGGAUGACAGCGCGUUCGACAUCGAAGGCUGGCUGGCUGGCCGUAUCGCCGACAAGUUCGCCCGUGCUGAGGCCGACAGCUUCAUCAAUGGCGACGGCUCCGGUAAGCCCACCGGCCUUUUGAACCAUCCCACCGUCGACAACGCGUCGUGGACCUGGGGCAAUGUGGGUUACGUCGCAACGGGCGCGGCGGGCGACUUUGAUGGCACGAACCCGGCCGACGCGAUUGUCGAUCUGGUCUACGCACUGGGUGCGCGGUAUCGCGCCAACGCGACGUUCGUGAUGAACUCCAAAACCGCCGGUUCCGUGCGCAAGAUGAAGGACGCCGAUGGCCGCUUCCUCUGGUCCGAUGGCCUGGCUGCCGGCGAACCGGCCCGUCUGAUGGGUUAUCCGGUCCUGAUUGCUGAGGAUAUGCCUGACAUCGCAACCGAUGCCAUGGCGAUUGCCUUCGGCGAUUUCGGUGCGGGUUACACGAUCGCCGAGCGUCCGGACCUGCGCGUGCUGCGUGACCCGUUCUCGGCAAAGCCGCACGUGCUGUUCUA